ACGAACGCUGGCGGCGUGCUUAACACAUGCAAGUCGAACGGAAAGGCCCUGCUUUUGUGGGGUGCUCGAGUGGCGAACGGGUGAGUAACACGUGAGUAACCUGCCCUUGACUUUGGGAUAACUUCAGGAAACUGGGGCUAAUACCGGAUAGGAGCUCCUGCUGCAUGGUGGGGGUUGGAAAGUUUCGGCGGUUGGGGAUGGACUCGCGGCUUAUCAGCUUGUUGGUGGGGUAGUGGCUUACCAAGGCUUUGACGGGUAGCCGGCCUGAGAGGGUGACCGGCCACAUUGGGACUGAGAUACGGCCCAGACUCCUACGGGAGGCAGCAGUGGGGAAUAUUGCACAAUGGGCGGAAGCCUGAUGCAGCAACGCCGCGUGCGGGAUGACGGCCUUCGGGUUGUAAACCGCUUUCGACUGUGACGAAGCGUGAGUGACGGUAAUGGGUAAAGAAGCACCGGCUAACUACGUG
rnacentral:rRNA from 1 species